AUUAAUACUUUAUACGUAAAUUAUUAUUUGAAGUAACAAAACCAUGGUUAAUUUGCAGUUAACACGGCUACAAGAAUAAUAAUUUUUCUAAUAAUUAACUACUAACUAAUAAUUUUUGGUGUUAUUCAUGCUAAAACCGUGGCUAACUUUCGUAAGGGAACGUCAGAGAGAAUAUUAGAUUCUGGUGAUGGAAUUAUUUAUGACAUUAAAAAACAUUAUUAAUGUCAACAGCCAAAAAAGUUUCACAGGAUUAUGAAUGUGCCUGAAACAAAUGAUUUACAAUUUAUUUUAAUAAAUAUUAAAAGUGUAAAAGGUGUGCAUUGUAGUUGACACCUAAAUGAACACUUUACAGUUGCUGUUAUGACUGUAAAUCAUUCUCCUCAAAUGCUAUUGAGCUUUAAAUUUGUAUUUGAGCCCAUUCAGUUGUGAAAACGUAGCAUACUUUACAUAUAUGACACCUAUAUGAACAAUUUACACUUGUUUUUAUGACUGUACAUCAUUCUCCUCCUAUUGACGCUAGAAAAGUGUAUAGCCUACCAAUAUCGCAUGUAACUUUAGAGAGUUAAACAAGUUUAAGUCCAAUAUAAAUUUGCGAAUAUCGAACGUCCAGUGUCAAACCAACGUUAUGCCAGGUUUUUUUUUUAUUAUAUAUAUAUUUUUUACUUUAUUUCAUUUUAUUUUCUCUGCACCGAAUUGCAGAUGUCUUUUCACGGGCAUCGAUGUCCAUCCAUUAAUUAUGAUCAUUUGCAUUUUUUGCAUGGCAAAAAAACCCCCAAAAAAACCCUGUAUUUUAACAAUGACAAUGGAAUAAGACCUGUUCAGAAGAAUGCUUUGGAAGUGUAUUUGUUUAUUUAUUUAUUUUUACCACACAGGAGAUUGUAAAAGAAAGACAAUGAGUUCAGCAUCAAGGCAAAAGAAGAAAAAAAAAAAUAAAUUUGGUGCUACAUCUCCACCAUUUAUUGAUUACUUGAAGGAAAUUUUGAGAAGGUACACAGAUGGGGGACAAAUAUUGAAGGUAGGUAAAAAAUAAAUAAAUAAAAAUAAAUAACUUUACA
ensembl:lncRNA